rnacentral:rRNA from 1 species
AUUGAACGCUGGCGGCAUGCCUAACACAUGCAAGUCGAGCGAGCGGCGGACGGGUGAGUAAUGUCUGGGAACCUGCCUGAUGGCGGGGGAUAACUACUGGAAACGGUAGCUAAUACCGCAUACCUUCAGCUGUUCCCAGAUGGGAUUAGCUAGUAGGUCGGGUAAUGGCUCACCUAGGCGACGAUCCCUAGCUGGUCUGAGAGGAUGACCAGCCACACUGGAACUGAGACACGGUCCAGACCCCUACGGGAGGCAGCAGUGGGGAAUAUUGCACAAUGGGCGCAAGCCUGAUGCAGCCAUGCCGCGUGUGUGAAGAAGGCCUUCGGGUUGUAAAGCACGUUCAGCGGGGAGGCGUUACUCGCAGAAGAAGCACCGGCUAACUCCGUGCCAGCAGCCGCGGUAAUUC